rnacentral:lncRNA from 1 species
GGAGAAAGUGAGGAACUCACCAGCCCUUGUUUACCGUCUGGUUUCAAAUCUGGGUGGCAGCAUGCUGAGAUAGUGUACGAAAUCAAAGGACAGCAGGCAGGUAUAGGGCUUUAUCGCUCUCUUCCUAUCUAGGCCAGCUGGUAGCAAAUGAGAUUAUACACCUGCAGCCUCCUGGAGAGACACUAAAUUAUCUGUCUGUGUACUCUUCUGUCUGGCUUUCUUGAUGUGCUGUUAAGGAGGCUCUGCAGCUCCUGCCUCUCUAGCUGCGGUGUGUCUGUCCAGUAACACAGACAGAGCUGAGCACUCCCUGAGCCUCUUUCAGUACCCUUCCGCCUCAAAUGGUGUUGUUCAUCGUGGGCUGUCACACAUGUAAUCUCAGCCUGAGGACAGUCUGAGUUAACGCUGGAAGAAGAGGGAAGUGUGUUAUUUCAGUUCUCUGUGAAGAGCCUCCUCUGUGUCACUCUUGCUCUGACAAAGCAGCAAAGAUGCUCCACCAGAGAGCGCAUAAAGGUGAGGAAGUGAAGGACUUGGAUUUUCAUGCUUUCCCCUGCUGUGAUGCUUUGUUCAGCAGAGGCCGGACUCAUAGAAGGGACUGGGGAUGUGAGAUAGGACCUCCAGCUGGUACGGGCAAACUUACCCUCUCCUCAGCCACUAAGGAUUUGGUGCAGGACCAUGUCUGAGACCUUGCACAAGUCCUGAACUGCAUUUUGAGUGAUCCCUCCUGAGAAAGACAUUGCUUUGUGAGUUUGAGUUGGUGCCUCGGCACGGUGGUGGAAUUGCUGGAUCAAAUGAGAGAGGCCCGUGAGUUUGGCACAGAGCUCGUGAUGCAUUUGGCAGCACUGGUGUUGGGUCAGGGUAAGAAGUAAGGGCCAUAAACGUGAGUGAGCCACAAAAAGAAACCCCGAACGCAGCUCGCUGGACUUCACAGGUGUUCGUGCCUCGGCAGGGGCAGGGCUAAACGCCAUUGCACGGGGUCUCACUGCAGGCGGAUCUCACUCUGCCCAACCAACGUACCGCCGCCGCACCGAGCUGCAGCCGGCUGACUGCAAUGCACCACUCCGGC